rnacentral:rRNA from 1 species
AACGAACGCUGGCGGCAUGCCUAACACAUGCAAGUCGAACGAAGUCUUCGGACUUAGUGGCGCACGGGUGCGUAACGCGUGGGAAUCUGCCCUUGGGUACGGAAUAACUCAGAGAAAUUUGUGCUAAUACCGUAUAAUGUCGUAAGACCAAAGAUUUAUCGCCCAAGGAUGAGCCCGCGUAAGAUUAGCUAGUUGGUAGGGUAAAGCCUACCAAGGCGACGAUCUUUAGCUGGUCUGAGAGGAUGAUCAGCCACACUGGGACUGAGACACGGCCCAGACUCCUACGGGAGGCAGCAGUGGGGAAUAUUGGACAAUGGGCGAAAGCCUGAUCCAGCAAUGCCGCGUGAGUGAUGAAGGCCCUAGGGUUGUAAAGCUCUUUUACCCGGGAUGAUAAUGACAGUACCGGGAGAAUAAGCUCCGGCUAACUCCGUG